CCGCAAGGUUAAAACUCAAAUGAAUUGACGGGGGCCCGCACAAGCGGUGGAGCAUGUGGUUUAAUUCGAUGCAACGCGAAGAACCUUACCUGGCCUUGACAUCCACGGAAUUCGGCAGAGAUGCCUUAGUGCCUUCGGGAACCGUGAGACAGGUGCUGCAUGGCUGUCGUCAGCUCGUGUUGUGAAAUGUUGGGUUAAGUCCCGCAACGAGCGCAACCCUUAUCCUUUGUUGCCAGCGAGUAAUGUCGGGAACUCAAAGGAGACUGCCGGUGAUAAACCGGAGGAAGGUGGGGAUGACGUCAAGUCAUCAUGGCCCUUACGGCCAGGGCUACACACGUGCUACAAUGGCGCAUACAAAGAGAAGCGACCUCGCGAGAGCAAGCGGACCUCAUAAAGUGCGUCGUAGUCCGGAUCGGAGUCUGCAACUCGACUCCGUGAAGUCGGAAUCGCUAGUAAUCGUAGAUCAGAAUGCUACGGUGAAUACGUUCCCGGGCCU
rnacentral:rRNA from 1 species